GAUUUCCGUAGGAAUCGUCCAAGCUCUGGACAAGCGGAUGGAUUCACGUGGGUGUAGUCAUAUAUAUAUGUACGUGCGUUUACCAGCCUCUCCGCUGUCCUAGAAGAUAUACUCGCCACCAUUAACAUUAUUAUGUGCGCCCGUGCUCGUCAGUGGGGAUAAGUGAACGCGGCUGGCUUAUUAAAUUGCUGGUGUAACAUUACGAUUUACAGGGCAAUAAGAGAGUUAUCCAAGCAGCGCGCUUCGUGAGUGAGCUCGUAACGUGGCGUUAACGUAGCGUGCUUGUUCUCUUCUCCCACUCUAACCAAUUUAAUACCAGAAGGAGCGAGCUAAGGUAGCACUGAAUUCUACUGCUGUUCGAUUCGUUGAUACAAGGAUUACGUUAUUACAUUUUACACCGAUCUAAAGGAAGUCCUUGAGAGAAAUUCUUGGCAGUUAAAUAAAAAUUAUAAUAUUAUGUCUGUUCAUUACAGCGUUGCCGUAUUAAGGGAUGUUCGCAUAUAAUGCUAGAAACAAUGGCAGUUUGAUGAGUUCGCCUACUUGUUAUCCGGAGCCCACUUGUCGUUUCUCCAACUCAUUAACGUCAUACGAUGACGGUAAUCAAGACUCGAAGAUGAAUGUAUUAAAAUCAACGUUUACCAUGAGUAUUUGCGUGACGCAAAUCGUUAGAUACUAUGUUCCGUACAUCGAAAAAUGAUUUGCAGAGUGAGGAUGCAGCAUACUUCCACUUUUUCUUUUUGUCUUUUUUCUUUCUUUCUUUCUUUCUUUUUUCAACAUGUCAGAUACAUUCUGAAGAUUCGUCGUCACACGACCGGUAGUAAUUUCAUCGGUAAUAAUAUCAGUCGAACGUGACGUGACUCCUUCGAAAUGCCAUGUGAAGGAAACAAGGCGACGAGGCCAUAAAAAAGCAUGCUGCUUGAGGGAAGGAGCAGGUUAAGAAAGAGAAGGAGGGGGAAGAGGAGGAGGAGAAGAAGAAAAAGGAGGAGGAGAAAGAGGAGGAGGAGAAGGAGGAGGAGGUGGGAACCGCAGUGACCGCGAGUGCUUGUCUAAAAGGAGUCCUAGGCGGGUUAUCGCUCGGUAGAGCUUGAACAACGUUGCAAUUAUCAGCCAUUCCUCGCAAAUAGCUGAUGGUUAGUGAUAAUUAUCUGCCAAGAACGCCACGCCAUCGAGGCAGCAUCGUGUACGGUUGAUCUAUAUACCGGGUGAUCCGAUCGACGGAUUAUUCUUUUCAAUGCGGAUCAUCGAUUUAGAACGUCACUUUCGUGUACUAGAACGAUCGAGUUAUUGUUAAAUCGUACAUCCGUAUUUUAUAUCUUGUCUUAUA